rnacentral:lncRNA from 1 species
GCCAAACGUCAAGAUUAAGUUACACUUCAUGGCUGAGUUCCUUUAACAUUUACGGCUGACUUAGUAAUUGGGGUUUAGGGUUGCUUAUUUAGGGUUUAGAUUUGCUUUUUUGGGAAUUUAGGUUUAGGAUUUGGAUUUAUGGUGCAAGAAAUAUAAUAAAUAACACAAAUUCAUAAUAAAUAACACAAGAAUAGUUUACGAGUUUUGAAUUAUGCUCACACCUUAUAUCUAAAUGUAAG